ensembl:lncRNA
GGAAACAUCGAACACCACAUAAAUAAAGGUUGACUUGGUGCAGAAGUGUACAGUGCCAUGUCCCUGCAUCUUCAUGGAGAAAUGUAUUCUUUCCACAUGAGAAGCAACACCGUCCAUGGAGCAGAGGCAGUGCCACACGCGCGCCAUGGCCUUCCAGGAGAAGUACUGAAGCCUUUCAGCUGCCUUGACUCUGUGCCUUUCACACCAGGCCUCAUCCAGGACCCCAGAGAUAGGAUCGGGUGUAAGAGCAUUAGGUUGCAUGAAAAUAGGGCACUGCUUUUAGAUGGCGCUCCCCUGAGAUGUUGGGAGAGGCGACAGGAAAUGGUGAACUUGGGGGCAGAAGGGAACUGGUGGAUUGAAGCUAGUUGGCCGGUCUGUGGCUUAAUGAUCUGCUGUGACAGACAAAGGGAGACUAGGGCAUGGUUAUAUAUUUUAAGCUAUCAGGUCAAAUGGAAAAAUCAGAAAAGGCAAGGAGUGAGCUUUUAACCAGUAUUUCUUGUCUGCCUGUGGAUGGGGGUGGACACAUCGGUCAGCAAAGAGGUAAAAAGAUAGGGCCUCUUCCUUCUCACAUCCAUGAAGAUCAGUUUCAGUGCUUUCCUGUGUUGGAAAGGGAAGAAUCUUGAAUUAAAUUACACGGCCUUAUAUUUUAGGACGAUCUCGAAUUCAAUUACAUGGCUUGAUAUUUC